rfam:Felis catus isolate Cinnamon breed Abyssinian chromosome A2, whole genome shotgun sequence.
GCCUGGGUGGCUCAGUCAGUUGAGCACCUGACUGCGGCUUAGGUCACGAUCUCGCAGUUUGUGAGUUCGAGCCCCGCGUCGGGCU